GUGCGAUUCUUCUCCGCAGUAAGCUUCGCUACCGCGCACGUCGCAGUGAUUCAUGACUAAUGAUUGACAGAACAAGAAGUCAUUAGUCUCAAUAUCAAUAAUCAAUCAGGCAGUAAACUCAUACGAUCAAUAAUUAAUGACUUACUGGCGAUCAAGUUACCCAUUGUACCGGACGUUACAAAUACGGCCGCUUCUUUACCCAGGAGGUCCGCUGCUUUCUUCUCCAGUUCUGCAAUCACAUAAGUGGAUGCUGCAUCAACUGGACUUUAUGGAAGUUGGAUCCUCGCCGUAUACGUCGUCUCCGAGGUCAGCGUUAUACAUUGCCAUCUUCAUGGCCUCGGAUGGCUUGGUAAUUCACUCACGUUUUUCGCUGUUGCGUAAGAUCGUGUCUCCUCGCUUAUACCAACACCGUAAGAUGACAUCUUUCGCGCAAUGAGUCCAGAUCUCUUUGGGAACCGUAGCCAACUGUUCUUAAGUAACACGAUGACGGCUUAUCAGAAAGUCGUUAGCGUGAGCACAAUUGAUAAUUCAGUUCAUAAAUAGAAGGAGAAGUGGAUCAAUGCAAUUUCGAAAUUAUAUAUUUUACGAUUGUGCGGGUCAAGUGGUAUGGAAAAGCGACCUGUUGGCGGCUUAAGGUGAACAAUGAAAAAUUUGCUGAGGUCAAAGGGUACGAUGAAACGAUUAAAUUUAUAGGCUAUGUAAUUAUUUUAUAUUCAUCGAAUGAUCUAUCAGUAUUUAUCAUCGCUAUACAGUAGAUCGUGUCUUAAUGUUCCCCCUAGUAUUUCAUGAACAUAAUAUUUAAGAGUUAUAGUAAUUCGUCUAGGAUAUUGCGUAUACAGUUAUCUUUGUAACUAAAAUUCUGCAGUUGACGUAUUCAUCGUUUGAUCAGGUGCGACGAUUUUUAUCGAUGAAUAAAUUUUUGUAAUGUU